rnacentral:rRNA from 1 species
AACGAACGCUGGCGGCAGGCCUAACACAUGCAAGUCGAACGCUCGUAGCAAUACGAGAGUGGCAGACGGGUGAGUAACACGUGGGAACCUUCCCUAUGGUUCGGAAUAGCUCAGGGAAACUUGGGGUAAUACCGGAUAAGCCCUUCGGGGAAGGAUUUAUCGCCAUUGGAUGGCCCGCGUCGGAUUAGCUAGUUGGUGAGGUAACGGCUCACCAAGGCAACGAUCCGUAGCUGGUCUGAGAGGAUGAUCAGCCACACUGGGACUGAGACACGGCCCAGACUCCUACGGGAGGCAGCAGUGGGGAAUAUUGCGCAAUGGACGAAAGUCUGACGCAGCGACGCCGCGUGUGGGAUGACGGUCUUCGGAUUGUAAACCACUGUCGGGAGGGACGAAUACGCCGC